rnacentral:rRNA from 1 species
GGGGGAUAUUGCACAAUGGAGGAAACUCUGAUGCAGCAACGCCGCGUGAGGGAAGAAGGUCUUCGGGUUGUAAAGCACUUUUGUCCGGAAAGAAAUCCUUGGCUCUAAUACAGUCGGGGGAUGACGGUACCGGAAGAAUAAGCACCGGCUAACUACGUGCCAGCAGCCGCGGUAAUACGUAGGGUGCGAGCGUUAAUCGGAAUUACUGGGCGUAAAGCGUGCGCAGGCGGUUUGCUAAGACCGAUGUGAAAUCCCCGGGCUUAACCUGGGAACUGCAUUGGUGACUGGCAGGCUAGAGUAUGGCAGAGGGGAGUAGAAUUCUACGUGUAGCAGUGAAAUGCGUAGAGAUGUGGAGGAAUACCGAUGGCGAAGGCAGCCCCCUGGGCCAAUACUGACGCUCAUGCACGAAAGCGUGGGGAGCAAAC